UGUAGUUAGUAAUUAGUGGGGGAUGUAGUUAGUAAUUAGUGGGGGAUGUAGUUAGUAAUUAGUGGCUAUCUACUGGGUGCUUAGUAUUCACUGUUGCACCUUAAUUCCGAUUGAUUUCCAGGAGGAAAACAAUGAAAACAAAGUUGCAAUUUAGGGAAUACUAAUCACUAAGUAGACGACUACAAAUUACUAACUACGAACCUCACUCAAAUGUUCCUGUUAUUCAAAAUCCUCCAAUACUUCACAUCCUAGAGAAAAGAGGACAAAAAUAUAAUGUCAAUUGUGUUUACUAAUAUCAAAGUUAUUCCCAAAUAUUUCAAUAUAGCUCAGCGAUGGAAACAAAAAAACAACAUGUGAAGACCACGGUUUAUCUUUUUCUUCUCGUGUCUGCAGAGCUAACUUUUUCGUGUUUUGACGGGGGAAUCGUUUUCGCAUUCUCUUUUCUUACUUUUUUUUCGCCGAAUGGCUUUUAAAACCGCAUGCUUUCUUUUUCGGGGAAUCAAGCGCAUCUCGUGUUAUGGGAAAACGAGCGUAGACACGCUAGAUUAGGUGGAUGAGCAAAUAGAACUUUUCACUUCGCAUUAAAAUAAGUUUAUUAAGCAUCUAUAUUACAAUGUUGUCUGAAAAUAUUCAGCAAAUAUAGCUAUCGUCCUGUCAUCACACGUACAAGGUAGAGAACUCCCUAUCGGAUUGCACACAGCAAGGAGAAACAAUAAAUAAAAACAAGCGUGAAAAUACAGAAAUACAGUGAUAGUCUUGUACAAAUCUUAUAUAUACAUCCAUUUAUGAAUACAAUUGCUGUCAGUCCAAACAGCGAAUGUCAAAAGGGUAGUUCUAGGGCCGAAAGGUGCUUAUGGAUACUGAUUCUUCCAAUAUAGUAUAUCGAUACCCGUGAUACCUUUCGGACAUAGCACUUACAUUCACAUACGGGCUUUUGCCAUGAUAAUUCCAUUGAGCUAUUUGUAUCUACUGAACAUGUUUAUAUAAAUCUAUUUAAAAAAAUGUUACAGUGCAAAUGGCAUUUCUACGACUGACAGCCGCUUAAUAUUGUAUUGAUACCUAUCCAAUGAUUAAUCCACAUUUUGAUGUAAUCUGUAGAGAUAUGACGUGGGACAAUUUUUGUUAUCAACUGCCAUUUGCCAUUAACACAGAGUUUUUAUUUAAAUAGAUGUAUAACAGUGGUAAAGACAAAUAGGAUCUUCCUGGAAGCUGCCAGAGAAAGACCAAGCUUUCCUUGGACUUACAACUCGAAUUCUAUGGGUAAUCUACAUACAGUAUUAUAUUAAAGCCCAGCUUUCCUUGGACUUACAACUCGAAUUCUAUGGGUAACCUACAUAUUAUUAAAGCCCAGCUUUCCUUGGACUUACAACUCGAAUUCUAUUGGUAAUCUACGUAUUAUUAAAGUCCAGCUUCUCCAAACAUAAUAAAGCAUAAAUUAAUUCGGUAUCAAAUUUAUAUUAAAUCGAUAAUUUAUAUCUAACGAAAAAGUUCCUCAAGGCGAUCGAAAUGUUUAUACAUAUCCAUGCAGGUUUUAUUAAUAGUCUGAAGACCCCAAUCUUUAAUAUUUCAAUCAAUAUAAAUCACAUGCACAUAAUGUUAUCAG